ensembl:lncRNA
GUCCAAAAUUACUUUUUAUUAGCUUCCAUUACAAGGUAAGAGUGUUUUUUCCCCCUUUUCCUGUAAAGUUACUGUGUUUCCACAAUAAAUCCUGAAUGCUUUAUAUUGUUUCAGAACAUAGACAGUUUCUGUCUAUUACAAUAAAGUUUCAAUCGCAUUUGUCACGAUUGGCCCCUCCCAGUCUCCUCAUGUGCUUGUGUUUACCUUUGUCCUGUCCAUGUGCUCGUGUUUACUGCCUGAUCUUCCAUGUGCCAUUUGUUUUGGUUUUGUAGUCCAGCCCCCUCGUUUCGUGACUCCACCCCUGAUUGUUUCCACCUGUGUUCCCGCCUGUCCCUCGUUUACCCUGUGAUCAUACCCUGUGUUUGCCUCUAGUUGUUGCUGGUCUUUGUUGUUUGUAAUGUUGGGAUGUUUGGUCAUCCUUGUUUGAUUCUGGUCUGUCUGUCCCUCCUGCUCUCGGUGUUGGCUGUUUGACGCUGGACCAUUGUGACUUUGACCCUGGAUUUGCCCCUAAUAGAAGUUGCUUAUUUCGGUGUUUCCACCUUCGUUACAUUGCGCAAUGUGGGGUCGACUCACAUGGUGUGAAAAUGGAACUAAUCCUUCAACUAAGGGAAGAGAUGAAAACCAGAAGUGAAGACACAAGAUCUUUCAAAAGGUCUGGGGAGCCUCAGGUGGACUGCGUUAAGAUUGACCUGAGAGCAGAGUCUUCGAUUUUGUGGACGUCUUGCUCUUGGAAACAUUUCCCAAACAUGCAUUUAUAAUUUUGCAUGUGGGCUGGCAGUGGAUACAGAUCAUACGGAGUCGGAGUCGUUUUCCCUUCAGGUCCUCACGAAGGAAGAUUUUUGGAUCCCAACCCUGAAAAGCUGGAGCUGGUAUCUGGAGGAUGUAGAGUUAAUUUACCAUCAUUAAAAACCAAAGGCAGUACCCCAGACCUGAAUGGUCACCCAAUUAGUGGCGGCAGUGACCACUACUCUCUGUGUGAUACUUUCCAUAAAAAAACCCCACAAAGAAUCCAAAGAAUCAACAACAAAAUAAGACAGUUGAAGAUCCUAAGCCACUCUUGGGCCCUAACUUCGCAUAUUUCAACAAAUAUGGACAGGAGUCAUUCCCUGGUUUGCCUUCCACAAGCUAGAGAUCCUGCAGUCGCACCACCACCCAAAAGAACCUGGCAAAUGCUGUAUCCAGUGAGCAGUGGAAGGUGCUUCACUUUAUAGAUCAUGAGAAGGUGGUGGAGCAUCCAGCUGCUGGAGAAGUUUCCACUCAAAAGCCAUUUUUUUUCUUCAUCUAUUUUUGGAAUGAAUUUAGUGGGUGCCUCAGUUCCAGUUGAAUAAAGUUGCAAACAAUAUAAUUAGAGAUUCACAUCCUGACUUACAGCCCUGGCCGUACACGAGACCCAGAACACCGAGAGCCAACGUCCACCCUGUCACGGUCACAGCUGUGAAACAGCCUCGUGAGCCUUUG